rnacentral:rRNA from 1 species
AACGUAGGACACAAGCGUUAUCCGGAGUUACUGGGCGUAAAGCGCGCGUAGGCGGCUUUGUAAGUUAGAGGUGAAAGCCCGGAGCUCAACUCCGGAACUGCCUUUAAGACUGCAUCGCUAGAAUUGUGGAGAGGUGAGUGGAAUUCCGAGUGUAGAGGUGAAAUUCGUAGAUAUUCGGAAGAACACCAGUGGCGAAGGCGACUCACUGGACACAUAUUGACGCUGAGGUGCGAAAGCGUGGGGAGCAAACAGG